GCCGAUAAUAGGAGUCGAACCUACGACCUUCGCAUUCGUAAUGCGAAGGUCGUAGGUUCGACUCCUAUUAUCGGCACCA
rnacentral:tRNA from 1 species